rnacentral:SRP_RNA from 1 species
CGCCGGGCCCCGUUCGAGAGGUGGCCGCCCAAACCCGCCAGGACCGGAAGGUAGCAACGGUAAGUGGUUCAUCUUUGUGAGCGGAAAGCCUGGCUUUA